CUUACUCCCGAUUAGAUUGUAUUAUAUCGUGUCAUCUUUCAUUCCAACAUUGUAGUUAUUAAAAUAAGUUCUCCUUCUUAGAUCGUUGCCGCUGCUCCGUUUUUUCUCAGGAAGCCGGGUGGGAGGGGGCCCGCAAGCCUACUGCCCCCCUGUCAUGGGCACAGAUCUAUCUAGGUAACUCCGUGACAAAUUUUUGGUGGAGAAGGCGGGCAAGAUUCAUCUUAAGCUUUAACGUUAGUAAGAAAAAAGGAUUUCGUUAGGCCAGACUGUGAGACUACAAAGCAUUGCUGGUGUUGGUGUGACCUUCAUAGAUUAGAUUAUAGCCUGGGCAAUCCGCCAAACUCCAGACACUGUACCGAGUGGUUUCCGUUUGUUUUCUUUUUUCUCCUUCUCUUCACCUCCCCCCCCCCCCUUACGUUAGCAGUUACCAACUAUGAGGUUGCUCUUUAUUGUCAGAGCACUGUAUAAGGGAUUAAAAGCUAUCAUGUUCCUUGCCAGUUACCGGUCUAUAAUUAACCUCUUCAUGUCUUGCUGUGGAGUUGUGUUCAUAUACAACCAAAUAAGGGCCCUGAUAGAGGCACCUGCCUGGUGGCUUUAUGCAAUGUGGUAUAAUUUGAAUUUUGAGACCUUUGAACCAGUUUCCAGGCUUCCCUCUCAGUUUGUUGAACGUUUUUCAAAUACCGAGUCAGUGCUCAUAUUUUUGUGCAUAUUAUCGAUAUCUUUGAAUGUAUUCCUCUUCAUUCGUGCUAAGUGGAAGGAGCCUCCUCCAAGAUCAGAGAAUGAUGACUGGCAAGGAAUAUGGAAAGGUUUAGGAAGAAUCUUAGAAGCGUGGGGACCCGCUGUGCCAUGGGAUUUCACUCCUGAACAUCUGUGGGAUCCCGAGAAACUGAGCCAGCAUUUGAGUCAGGGGCAGUGUGGCUUAGAUAGAUCAAAGGAGGCACGGCUCAUCUGGGACUUGGCUUGUGCCUACCGCGCCCUGCAUAGUACUGUUCUGGAGAGAGACAGUUUCCGAGCGGAGGUGCAAGCCGAAGGGGGAAAUCUCCAAGUCAGACCUGAUCAAUCACAACAGAUACCAGUAACAGUAUCAGUAGCCCCUGUAGAAGGCAAGAAAUGGAAGCGGGUGUCCUCGCGUCUAGAGCAAAAAAAGGAAGAAGAAGAAGAAAUGGAGGAGGAGGUGGUAGAGGAAGAUCCAGGUGAGGGGACUUCCUCAGAACCAAGAAAAGCAAAAGCAAAAACUAAGAGGCAUGAAGAGGACAGCGAUGAAGAGGAGAUCACUAUUACUGUUCAUCGACCUCUCAAGAUCUCUGAGAUCCUAAGCUCAAGAAAGGAAUUUGAACAAUGCCCGAAUUAAAC
ensembl:lncRNA